rnacentral:rRNA from 1 species
UACGUAGGGGGCAAGCGUUGUCCGGAUUUAUUGGGCGUAAAGCGCACGUAGGCGGUCUUUUAAGUCAGGGGUGAAAUCCUGGAGCUCAACUCCAGAACUGCCUUUGAUACUGGGAGACUUGAGUCCGGGAGAGGUGAGUGGAACUGCGAGUGUAGAGGUGAAAUUCGUAGAUAUUCGCAAGAACACCAGUGGCGAAGGCGGCUCACUGGCCCGGUACUGACGCUGAGGUGCGAAAGCGUGGGGAGCAAACAGG